rnacentral:ncRNA from 1 species
CUCGAGAGAGUUUAGGUACCUUGAGGGCUGAAGGUGGAGAAGGGUUCCACGUGAACAGCAGUUGAACAUGGGUCAGUCGGUCCUACGCGAUUGGAGAAAUCCAUUCCGAAGGGGGACGUUGAGCUUUGCCUAACAGAAGCGUGUUUGUCCCCCUGUCGACCGAAAGGGAAUGGGGUUAAUAUUCCCCAAGCUGACACGGAGAUUGGAGCUUCAGCUCCAAAUGCGGUAACGCAACCGAACUCGGAGAAUUCGACGGGAGACUUGGUUAAAAGUUAUCGUUUCUUUGUAAGAACUCUGUCUGAAUCGGAUCAUCCGGAGGUAGGGAUAGUAAGUUUGUAAAAGCACCACGGCUCUUGCGGUGUCCGGUACGCUCCUAUCGACCCUUGCAAAUCCGAGGAAGAGAUUAUGAUCUCCGUUCCAGACCAUACCCAUAUCCGCAGCAGGUCUCCAAGGUGAACAGCCUGUAGUC